rnacentral:tRNA from 1 species
GCCGCAAUAGCUCAGAUGGUAGAGCAACGCAUUCGUAAUGCGUGGGUCGGGGGUUCAAGUCCCUCUUGCGGCACCA